rnacentral:misc_RNA from 1 species
AAAAAACUCAAAACACAUACUAAAAAGAUAAAAUUAAAGACGGGUAUCUAAAAUUAAUCAAGACGAAAACUAAAAUCCUAACAAAAAAAAUAAAAAUAAAAAUACCUAAUCAAACCCUAGGCUUAAUUACCUGUAAUUUUAAUUUAUAACUCCCAUUUUUCAUAUGUUUAUGUUGUUAUAUAUAUGUGUGUGCGUCUAUGUGUAAAGGAACAUAGAAUGGAAAAAGACUCAGCAGCAGCUACAACGACGACGAAGAAGACGAUAUGGAGUACAUGGGAAGAGCUUUUGUUAGCGUCUGCUGUGAAAAGGCAUGGGCUAAAGGACUGGGAAUCUGUAGCCAUGGAACUACAAAAUCGUAUAUCGUUACCGGCUUUAUUGACCGCUCAAAUUUGUAAGGAGAAAUACAGGGACCUCCGCCGCCGCUUCAUGAAUAGCUAUAACAAUAGUUAUGAUGAAAAAAUCAUAGAACAGGAUGUAGAUGGAAAUGGAGAUGUAACGAUUCCUUGGAUUGAGGAGUUGAGAAAACUACGGGUUGCUGAGCUUCAACAAGAGGUUCAACGCUACGAUCUUUCGAUCCAGUCGUUGGAGUUGAAAGUGAAAAAAAUGGAGGAAGAGAGAGAACAGAGUUUGAAGGCGCAGAGUUUAGACGAUGGCCAGAAACCAGAUCUGGAGGAUGUAAAGGAAGAGAGAUCGCAAAACGACAAAAACAGCGGUGCUGAUGUUAAGCCGGAGGAUUCCACCGGGAAGCCCGUGUCCAGCGAGGAGUCAGACCGCGAAAACCGGUCAUUUAACGAGUCUAAUUCGACGGAGAACAGAGAAACCGGUGUUAAAAAUGAACCGGAACCGGUCGAGAUCGGUGAAGACAAACCGGUUCAGGAGAUUAAACCGGUCAGUGAAGAGGACUCGUAUAACGAUAGCAGUUCAGAUAGACAGGAGGAAAAGAAAGCCCGUCGGGACUCGGGCGAUUUACGUGAUACAGUGAGCGGGUCUAAGGAAGAGACUAGGGAAAACAGUGACGUGCAGAGCACGGCAACUUUAACGAAGAGAAAACGGCAGCGCGGUGGCGAUGGUGGUAGAAGCGGCGGAGAUGCGGCAGAAAUGGGUUCUCCAGCCGUUGGAAUUAAAAGGGAGGGUGCGGCGAAAUCAGAGCCGUUAAUUGAGUUUUUAGAUGUUAUCAGGUCGCAUAAGCGCGGCUCUGUAUUCAAGCGCCGGCUAGACAGCCAGAAAACGGACAAGUACAAGAGUAUGAUCCGACAACAUAUGGAUCUUGAAACGGUUCAAGCCCGGAUUGACGACGGAUCCUAUUGCUCUUGCCCAUCCAAAUUCUACUUGGACCUCCUACUCAUCUUCAACAAUGCCAUCGUCUACUUCGCUAAGUCAUCCUCAGAGACAACUGCAGCGAACGAACUCCGUGGCAUUGUAAUGGAAGAAUUAAAAAGGGCCAGAACCCAGUCGAAGGAUCUAUCACCAUUUAAGAUCCAACCCAAGCCCGAAUUGGAGAGAUCCGAUUCCUUGCUUGCAAAACACAAGUCUACCGUUCCUAUAGUAGUCUGUCGCAAGAGAAGCUCCAUUUCAGCAAAAGCAGCAGCUUCUUCUGGUACUAACAAGACAGAAAAACCAGCUGAUAGUAAACCUCCUCUGAACCCAAAGCCACCUGCGGUAAAAUCUUCUUCGAAUGAAGAAGAGAGUUCAAUCAAGCUUGGGGUGAAAGAAAAGCCAGUGACUGGAGUAAGAAGUAUGAGGAGAAGCAGCAAAGGACGUUCGAAUAAUAAUAAUGCUUCACAAUCCAACAGCAACCAAAACACGAAUGCUAAGCAAAGCAAUAGUAGCGGGGAGAAAAAGGAAGAGGUGAAACCGGAGAAGAAGAAAGAAGAAGGCAAAAAACGAGGAGCUGCAGCGGACUUCUUGAAGAGGAUAAAGAAGAAUUCUCCUACGAAAGGAACGUUGGUGGAAGCGCUGAAGAAUAAUCCUCCAGAGGAGGUUGUUGUUGUUAAAGGUAAAAAUAGUAAAGAUCAGCAAAAGAAAAAAGUUGAUGAACGGAGAGAAGCUCCAGUGAGGCGAAGUGGCGGCGGUGGCGGAGGCAGUGGUGCUAGCAAGGAUGAAGGUAGUCCGUCGAAGAGGAGCGUAGGUCGACCACCGAAGAGAGGUGGUAGAGAAGUAGUUGUGCAGGAAAAACGUGGAAGGGAAAAUAGUGAAAAAGAUGAUUCAACGAAACGGCCAAAGAAACGGUCAAGGAGGUAAAAUUAUGAUGAAUUUAGGAGGAAUUUAGUCUCAUUUUGCAGUGUAUAUUUUUACAUCUUGUAUUUUUAGUGUCAGGUUUUGAUUUUGGGAAUAUUACAUGUUAG